AUUGAACGCUGGCGGCAGGCCUAACACAUGCAAGUCGAACGAGUGGCGGACGGGUGAGUAAUGUCUGGGAAACUGCCUGAUGGAGGGGGAUACCUACUGGAAACGGUAGCUAAUACCGCAUACCAUCAGAUGUGCCUCGAUGGGAUUAGCUUGUUGGUGGGGUAACGGCUCACCAAGGCGACGAUCCCUAGCUGGUCUGAGAGGAUGACCGGCCACACGGGAACUGGGACACGGUCCAGACGCCUACGGGAGGCAGCAGUGGGGAAUAUUGCACAAGGGGGGAAAGCCGGAGGCAGCCAUGCCGCGUGUAUGAAGAAGGCCUUCGGGUUGUAAAGUACUUUCAUCGGGGAGGCGUUAACCACAGAAGAAGCACCGGCUAACUCCGUGCCAGCAGCCGCGGUAAUUC
rnacentral:rRNA from 1 species